UACGUAGGGCGCAAGCGUUAUCCGGAAUUAUUGGGCGUAAAGAGCUCGUAGGCGGUUUGUCGCGUCUGCCGUGAAAGUCCGGGGCCCAACUCCGGAUCUUGCGGUGGGUACGGGCAGACUAGAGUGAUGUAGGGGAGACUGGAAUUCCUGGUGUAGCGGUGAAAUGCGCAGAUAUCGGGAAGAACACCCGUGGCGAAGGCGGCUCUCUGGGACGGUACUGACGCGUGAGACGCGAAAGCGUGGGGAGCGAACGAGG
rnacentral:rRNA from 1 species